CUGANUCAGGGAGGUAGUGACAAGAAAUAAUAACUCGUGGACAUCUUGUCUUUCGAGAUUAGAAUGAGAACAAUUUAAAUCCCUUAUCGAGGAACAAUUGGAGGGCAAGUCUGGUGCCAGCAGCCGCGGUAAUUCCAGCUCCAAUAGCGUAUAUUAAAGUUGUUGCAGUUAAAAAGCUCGUAGUUGAACUUCUGAUUGCCAAUGAACGGGAUUUAUUCUGGGCAAUGGCAGUCAUCCGUCAGAGAACUUCAGUCGUCCUUCACUGGUCGCUGGAGGUAUUUGACAUUUUACUUUGAAAAAAUCAGAGUGUUCAAGGCAGGCAACGUCCUGAAUACAAAAGCAUGGAAUAAUGGAAUAGGACUAUGGUCCUCUUAUUGGUUAUUGGACCUUAGUAAUGAUUAAUAGGGACAGUUGGGGGCAUUAGUAUUUAAUUGUCAGAGGUGAAAUUCUUGGAUUUAUUAAAGACUAACUUAUGCGAAAGCAUUUGCCAAGGAUGUUUUCAUUAAUCAAGAACGAAAGUUAGGGGAUCAAAGACGAUCAGAUACCGUC
rnacentral:rRNA from 1 species